AAGAUUGACCGAGAGGUCUUAUCUCUAUAUCCCUCACCUCUGUGAACUGUGGACCUCCGGGUCUGUCUUUACAAACAUCAGUGUAAUGAACGUAUAUAUCAUUAAACAAAACA
rnacentral:misc_RNA from 1 species